GACAGUUUCUUCUAUUACAAUUUCUUGUUGUUCUUUAUCUCAUCCGCCCCCAGAUUUCCCUAUUACAAAUUACAAUAAUAAUAAUGUCUGUCUCUAAUUUUUCUGUACAGCUAUUUAUCUUCUUUUGACGCACUUGUUGAGGUGCUCUCCUGUUGAUUAUGGUAAUACACACACACACAUAUGCAUCUAUCUACACACAGACACACACAUUUAUAUGUGUGUGUGUGUGUUUUCUGUAUGAUUAAAUAUAAGCAUUUUCAAUGUGUAAAGCCAUUCCACUAUCGCAUUGCUUUGUUAUUGGACUCUGAUCCCUCUCUUGCUUUAUAUAAACACUAUUCAACUGUAAGAAAUUAGGUCAUCAGCACUUUUUGUCAUGGACAGCCCAUCUUAUCUAUCUUGGGCAAAAUUAAUGGAAAGAAAAGGCAGUGGUGUUCCAACAGAAAUAUGGCAAAGUGAUCAAAGUGUAAAGCGGGUGUUGGCAUAUUGCAUCAGAAAUAUGGCAAAGUGAUCAAUGUGUAAAGCGGGUGUUGGCAUAUUGCAUCAGAAAUAUGGCAAAGUGAUCAAUAUGUAAAGCGGGUGUUGGCAUAUUGCAUACAUCAUUUACCUUUGUCUUAUAGAGAGUCUUGAAAAGUCAGCUCAACAUGUUCUACUUUGAAUAAAUAAUGGAAUAUUUAA